AAAUGCUACUAGGGGUGCUUAAAAAAGCUGAGACUUACUCUUAGAACCUGAUCUAGAUAAUACUAGCGAAGGGAAGUGGCGAUAUAGCUUA
rnacentral:ncRNA from 2 species